ACAUUCCAAAACAAAAAUCCCUUCUAAAGUCCCUAAACUUAACCAUUUUCAACCAACCAAGUCGCCUAACAAAACCACAAUCCAAAACAUAAUCCUCUUCUAAAGUCCCUAAACUUAACCAUUUUCGAGCAUCUAAGUGUCAAAACAAAACCACAUUCCAAAACAAAAAUUCAUUUUAAAGUCCCUAAACUUAACCAUUUUCAACCAACCAAGUCACCUAACAAAACCACAUUCCAAAACAAAAUCUCCUUCUAAAGUCCCUUAACUAUUUUCGAGCAUCUAAGUGUCAAAACAAAACCACAUUCCAAAACAAAAAUCCCUUCUAAAGUCCACAAACUUAACCAUUUUCGAGCAUUUAAGUGUCAAAAUAAAACCACAUUCCAAAAUAAAAAUCUAUUUUAAAGUCCCUAAACUUAACUAUUUUCGGACAAGUAAGUGUCAAAACAAAACAACAUUCCAAAACAAAAAUCCCUUCUAUAGUCCACAAACUUAACCAUUUUCGAGCAUCUAAGUGUCAAAACAAAACCACAUUCCAAAAUAAAAAUCCAUUUUAAAGUCCCUAAACUUAACCAUUUUCAACCAACCAAGUCACCUAACCAAACCACAUUCCAAAACAAAAAUCACUUCUAAAGUCCGUAAACUUAACCAUUUUCGAGAAUCAAAGUGUCAAAACAAAACCACAUUCAAAAAUAAAAAUCCCUUUUAAAGUCCCUAAACUUAACCAUUUCCAACCAACCAAGUCACCUAACAAAACCACAUUCCAAAAUAAAAAUCUCUUCUAAAGUUCUUAAACUUAACCAUUUUCGAGCAUCUAAGCGUCAAAAUAAAACCACAUUCCAAAACAAAAAUCCCUUUUAAAGUCCCUUAACUUAACCAUUUUCAACCAACCAAGUCACCCAACAAAACCACAUUCCAAAAUAAAAAUCUCCUCUAAAGUCCAUAAACUUAACCAUUUCCGAGCAUCUAAGUGUCAAAACAAAACCACAUUCCAAAACAAAAAUCCCUUCUAAAGUUCACAAAUUGAACCAUUUUCGAGCAUCUAAGUGUCAAAACGAAACAACAUUCCAUAUCAAAAAUCUCUUUUAUAGACCCUAAACCUAACACUUUUUAACCAAGUGUCAAAACAAAACCACAUUCCAAAACAAAAAUCCCUUCUAAAGUCCCUAAACUUAACAAUUUUCAACCAACCAAGUCACCUAACAAAACCACAUUCCAAAACAAAAUACCCUUCAAAAGUCCCUAAACUUAACCAUUUUGGAGCAUCUCUGUGUCAAAACAAAAUUUCAUUACAAAAAAAAAUCCCUUCUAAAGUCCGUAAACUUAACCAUUUUCGAGCAUCUAAGUGUCAAAAUAAAAUCACAUUUCAGAACAAAAAUCUCUUUUAAAGUCUCUAAACCUAACACUUUUUAUCCAAGUGUCAAAACAAAACCACAUUCCAAAACAAAAAUCCCUUCUAAAGUCCCUAAACUUAACCAUUUUCAACCAACCAAGUCACCUAACAAAACCCUAUUCCAAAACAUAAUCCCCUUCUAAAGUCCCUAAACUUAACCAUUUUCGAGCAUCUAAGUGUCAAAACAAAACCACAUUCCAAAACAAAAAAUUAUUUUAAAGUCCCUAAACUUAACCAUUUUCAACCAACCAAGUCACCUAACAAAACCCUAUUCCAAAACAUAAUCCCCUUCUAAAGUCCCUAAACUUAACCAUUUUCGAGCAUCUAAGUGUCAAAACAAAACCACAUUCCAAAAAGAAAUCCCUUCUAAAGUCCGUACACUUAACCAUUAUCGAGCAUCCAAGUGUCAAAACAAAAUCACAUUCCAAAACAAAAAUCUCUUUUAAAGUCCCUAAACCUAACACUUUUUUUCCAAGUAUCAUAACAAAAGCACAUUUCCAAACAAAAAUCCCUUCUAAAGUCCCUAAACUUAACCAUUUUCAACCAACCAAGUCACCAAACAAAACCACAUUCCAAAACAUAAUGCCUUUCUAAAGUCCCUAAACUUAACCAUUUUCGAGCAUCUAAGUGUCAAAAGAAAAUCACAUUCCAAAACAAAAAUCCAUUUUAAAAUUCCUAAACUUAACCAUUUUCUACCAACCAAGUCACCUAACAAAACCACAUUCCAAAACAAAAUCUCCUUCUAAAGUCCCUAAACUUAACCAUUUUCGAGCAUCUAUGUGUCAAAACAAAACCACAUUCUAAAACCAAAAUCCAUUUUAAAGUUCCUAAACUUAACCAUUUUCAACCGACCAAGUCACCUAACAAAAUCACAUUCCAAAACAAAAUCCCCUUCUAAAAUCCCUAAACUUAACCAUUUUCGAGCAUCUAAGUAUCAAAACAAAACCACAUUCCAAAACAAAAAUCCAUUUUAAAAUCCCUAAACUUAACUAUUUUCAACCAACUAAGUCGCCUAACAAAACCACAUUACAAAACAAAAUCCCCUUCUAAAGUCCCUAAACUUAACCAUUUUCAAGCAUCUAAGUGUCAAAACGAAACCACAUUCCGAAAUAAAAAUCCAUUUUAAAGUCCCCUAAACUUAACCAUUUUCAAUCAACCACGUCACCUAACAAAACCACAUUCCAAAACAAAAUCCCCUUCUAAAGUCCCUAAACUUAACCAUUUUCGAGCAUCUAAGUGUCAAAACAAAAUCACAUUCCAAAACAAAAAUCCCUUUUAAAGUCCCUAAACUUAACCAUUUUCAACCAACCAAGUCACCUAAAAAAACCACAUUCCAAAAUAAAAAUCUCUUUUAAAGUUCCUAAACUUAAUCAUUUUUGAGCAUCUAAGUGUCAAAACAAAACCACAUUAUAUUCUAAAACAAAAAUCCCUUAUAAAGUCCCUAAACUUAACCAUUCUCAACCAAUCAAGUCAC
rnacentral:lncRNA from 1 species